GUCUUGGACCUGUUCCUGGGCUCCUGCACUCUGAUAUCCAUCUCACCCACUUGUAAGUAUCCGUCACAGCCGGGCUACAACAGCAGAAGACUACAUCAGGUCCCAGUCCUGUCAACUAAGACAGCACAGGCCUACCAAAAUUGGAAAUUAGAAGACUGGAAAAACAAUAUGAGCAACAUUCAGAAGAAAGUGAACCACAACAUGUGGCAACAGAGCCCACAAACAUGAGCUCAUUCCUCUUGAGGGAAACUAGCAACUGAAAAAAACAGAGAUAGAAAGAGAGAAAGUCCCAGUGUUCCUCUCCACAUCCAUUUGUCUUUGGACUACAUUCCUGCUCCUCUUCCUC
ensembl:lncRNA